UUGAGACGCACGCACGCUGCCCUACGCGUUGCGAGCUCGCUGUCAAAACGCGAUUUGUUUACAGUCGUACAACACGUGUCGUGCGUUUGUUUUACUCGGCUACUAAUAUUUAUUCAAACAGAAUUAAACAAAUAAUUUAUUCAAUUCGUUCUCAAUGAAAAGUGAGUUUUAAUUAAAAAGCAGGAUCAACAAGUUUUCCAUGGAUUAAACGUAGUACUUUAUUUUAAUUUAAAUUAGAACGGACUUGGGAAGAAAAUGUUGAUGGAAAUUAAAUUAGUUUUAGUUUAGUGCUUGUUGUAUUGACGAUGGGAUCCUCGUGCUGUGCUAGUAUGUCAGUGAGUGUGGUCCGAGUGUUAUGGCUGGUGCUGAUGGUAUUUGCUGAUGAGAUCCAAGGAUAUGUGGAGACCGAGGAGUUCAUCAGUGACCUGGACAAGCCAAUACCGACGGCGCACGCGCAGGGCGUGCUCGGCAAGAAGGCCGCUCUGCCGUGCGACAUACAGCCGCUGGCGGCCGAGGACCAUGUCUCCAUGGUGCUCUGGUUCAAGGAAACUGAUGGAGAGCCUCUAUACAGCUACGACGUUCGAGGCCGGUUAGCCUCGCAGCCGAAGCUCUGGUCUUCAACAUCAGGGUUCGGUACCCGCGCCUACUUCCGAGCAGCUGCGAACCCAGCAGUACUGUUCGUGGACAGCGUGGUGUCUACUGAUGCUGGGGUCUACCGCUGCAGGGUCGACUUCAAGAACUCUCCUACAAGGAACUUGAGAGUCAACUUCACUGUUAUAACUCCGCCCAACCGGCCCACCAUCAUGGACGCUAAGACCAGGAGUCACACCAGACUGCUGGAGCCUUACAAUGAGGGAGACACGCUGGAGCUGGCUUGUGAAUGUUUUGGAGGCGACCCCCGUCCCCGGCUAACAUGGUACCUAGAAAACACAGUGAUAGACGACUCGUUCGAGCAGCGGCCAGACGGCGUGACGGUCAACACGCUGACGUUCCCCAACGUUGGCCGCCAACAUUUGAACGCCAGGCUGGUCUGCCAAGCCUCCAACACCAACCUCGCCGCGCCAGAGGCCAAGCUACUCAUUCUAGAUAUAAACUUAAGGCCACUGAGCGUGCAGAUCCUGAACAAGCGAGCACAGCUCUCAGCAGACAGGAACUAUGAAGUGGAGUGCAGAGCUGUGGGCUCCAGGCCAGAGGCACAAGUCACCUGGUGGAAGGCUGGGAGACAGCUCAAGAGGAGUGCAAAGAACUUUUCGGACAACAACGCGACCGUCAGCACCCUGAACCUGGUGCCGAUGGCAGAAGACCACGAGAAGUACCUGGUCUGCCGGGCGGAGAACCCUCGAGUGCCCAAUGCUGUCAUAGAAGACCGGUGGUUCCUCAACGUGCAAUAUGUCCCAAUAGUGACACUAAAACUGGGUUCGAACCUGAACCCGAGCUACAUCAAGGAAGGAGAUGGAGUGUACUUCGAGUGCAGCGUCAAAGCGAACCCGAAGACUAAGAAACUAACUUGGUAUAAGGGGGCAAAAGAAAUCCAGCACAAUGCGAGCGCCGGCAUCAUCCUGAGCGACCAGAGCCUGGUGCUGCAGAGCGUGACCAGGGCAGCAGCAGGCGACUACAGCUGCCUGGCGUACAAUAACGAGGGCAGUGCUACCAGCAACCCUGUGUCUUUGCAGAUCAAUUAUGCGCCAAUGUGUAAGACUGUGAACGACGGCGAGGUGUACGGAGCUCUCAAGAUGGAGACGGUGGUGCUGCAGUGCGUGGUGGACUCCAGCCCACCUCCCACAUACUUCAGCUGGUUCUUCAACAGCUCUGGAGAACAGACUGAAAUAUCUCCCAGCCUGUACACAGUCUUCGGGAACACCUCAACUCUUCGCUACACUCCGACCACUGACCUGGACUUUGGCACCGUGCUAUGUUCAGCCACCAACUCCGUGGGCAGGCAGGAGACUCCCUGCUUGUACAAACUGGUUGCUGCAGCAGGGAACCCUACGGCCCUGCAGAACUGUUCCGUAGUAAACCAGAGCUCUGAUACACUGCUGGUGGAGUGUCUCGAAGGCUUCGAUGGAGGUCUACCGCAGGUGUUCUAUAUGGAGGUGCUGGAGCUACCGUCUUUGAUGGUACGAGCAAACGUAUCCUCGAACCACACGCCUACCUUCGAGGUCCACGACCUGGACAGCAGAUCAAGCUACACCCUGAUCCUGUACGCUGCCAACGCUAAAGGCAGGAGUGAGGAGGUCACGCUGUACACAGUAGCCAUCAGGCCACCUGAUAAGUAUACCGGAGUGAGCACCUCAAUCCCACUAUCUCCGAUGCUGGUGUCUCUCCUGUCGGUGGCAGCGCUGCUGUGCACAGGAGUCUGCGGAGUCAUCACUGCGCUGUACCGGAGACACGCAGCCAGGAGACAUGAUAUAGACAAACAUCCACCUUCCACCAACGCCCUCUACAUGGAGCAGAGCGUAGAGUCGUUAUCGAAGCAGGACAACUUGAACACGUACUGCGCGUCGCCCAAGCUGGACUACUGCAGUCAGUACGAGCUGAAAAUGGAGGGGAGCGGGGAAGACACCGACCCUGAUAUCAUACCCUGCCAUUAUGACAUUUUGUUGCAGAUAAGAAACCAAUAGGAGAAUACAGUAAGCUGUCCACUCCUGCGCUGGACACAGACCCGCACAGGAUAUUCAGCGAAAGACCUGUCAUACCUGCUAGUGCGUCAUCAGUCAGUAUAUGCGUGGUGAACCGUGGCGUGACAGCGCGCAGCGCGGACAUUGCGGCUGCGCGGCGGCCAGAGGUGGUCACCACCGCGAGAAAGGUGCGCGAGAGUUGCAUAUAGACGGCGACGGUGACGGUGACGGUAAGCCAGUGACGGUGUGAUAAGGACUUUAUUAAUUGUUAUAGGUUUUAAGAUCCAACGAAGUGUGAAUUUAGGAUGUACAAAACGUUUUUUUUUUGCUUAGAUAGGUAAUUGAUUUUAAUUAAUAAAUAUUGUGGGAAUAUUUAUUUGGUUCUAUUUUUCCAUAAGAUUGUUAAGAUGUUAAAGUCCCUGGUUCGAUCCCCGAGUCGGGCAAAGUAUUGCUAGGGGAUUUUCGGUUUACCGAAAAAUUCUCAGUAGUAAGCAAGGAGCCUGGAAUUGUGUCCAGUAUAUGGCAAUAGGCUCACCCUCUAUUACAUGGGACUUAUAACACAAAUGGUGAAAAGUGCCGUAAUGUGCACUUCUGCCUACCCCUUCAGGGAUAAAAGGCGUGAUGAUACGUGAUUGUUAAGUGGUAAGUUAGUAAAUAAUAAUUUUGUGGAAAAAUAUAUUCUAGUUACGUUAUUAUUCCUUAGUAUGUGCAAUUUAAUUUAAUAUUUCCAUUAUGUAGCUAGAUAGAAACAUCCAAAGUUCACAUUUUGCUACAUAACUUUAAUUAUAAUAAUUGUAAUUAACAAACUGUUGUACACAUUAAUUAAACAAUGCAAUUGUAAGUAAGGUUACGAAAUUAUAUUUAUACUAAGUUAAUUGUAUAAUUAUAACUUAUAAUUAAUUAAUUAAAUAAUUAAUUAAAAAUGUCCGCCCACUCCUUGAGCUAUCACGAGAUUAUUUCAGUAUUUUUCUAUUUAGCUAAAUUAAUAUCUUUCCUUGGUUUUAAUAAAUUAAUUCAAAUGUAGACCCUAAUUGUUUUACAUUAAGAUACUUUUUAUGUAUAACACAGUUCUAGUUGAACGAAGACUUAUAAGAUUUCCUCUUAAUAUUUAAAGUAUGUAAAAUUAUUUAAUUACAUAAUUAUUAUUCCUAAACAGUAAGU